rnacentral:rRNA from 1 species
GAUGAACGCUGGCGGCGUGCCUAAUACAUGCAAGUCGAGCGAACGGACGAGAAGCUUGCUUCUCUGAUGUUAGCGGCGGACGGGUGAGUAACACGUGGAUAACCUACCUAUAAGACUGGGAUAACUUCGGGAAACCGGAGCUAAUACCGGAUAAUAUUUUGAACCGCAUGGUUCAAAAGUGAAAGACGGUCUUGCUGUCACUUAUAGAUGGAUCCGCGCUGCAUUAGCUAGUUGGUAAGGUAACGGCUUACCAAGGCAACGAUGCAUAGCCGACCUGAGAGGGGGAUCGGCCACACUGGAACUGAGAAACGGUCCAGACUCCUACGGGAGGCAGCAGUAGGGAAUCUUCCGAAAUGGGCGAAAGCCUGACGGAGCAACGCGGCGUGAGUGAUGAAGGUCUUCGGAUCGUAAAACCCUGUUAUUAGGGAAGAACAUAUGUGUAAGUAACGGUGCACAUCUGGACGGUACCUAAGCAGAAAGCCACGGCUAACUACGU